rnacentral:tRNA from 1 species
GCAGUGGUGGUUCAGUGGUAGAAUUCUCACUUCCUGUGUGGGAGACUCAGGUUCAGUUCCUGGCUACUGCC